rnacentral:rRNA from 1 species
CAUCAGCCGCGGUAAUACAGAGGGUGCAAGCGUUAAUCGGAAUUACUGGGCGUAAAGCGCGCGUAGGUGGUUUGUUAAGUUGGAUGUGAAAGCCCCGGGCUCAACCUGGGAACUGCAUCCAAAACUGGCAAGCUAGAGUACGGUAGAGGGUGGUGGAAUUUUCUGUGUAGCGGUGAAAUGCGUAGAUAUAGGAAGGAACACCAGUGGCGAAGGCGACCACCUGGACUGAUACUGACACUGAGGUGCGAAAGCGUGGGGAGCAAACAGGAUUAGAUACCCGCGUAGUCCCUGUCUCUUAUAC